GAGGGAAGUAUAAAAAUGAGAAAAGAAUCCUGUACUGGUCAGUAAGCAACAAACUCUUACCCUAGAAUCACCGUUUUAAGGAAGUUCAGUCAGUCAAAAUACGCUCAUCAUUCAAGAUGGUCUUCAAAGUCACAUUGCUCGUCUUUAUCAGCAUGGCCAUUAUAUUAUCGAACAAAGGAGCUGACGCUCAGGACGAUGCAAACCCUGAUUGUGUUGAUAGUAACCCAAACCUCUGCGAAAGAUAUAGACCAUAUUGUAAUGCGCCUAUAUUUUCUACGGACGCCUAUAAAAUGUGCCCGAAAACUUGCUGUGCCACCGGCUGCUGCCCAUAAGCUUUUUGAAGUGAUCUGUGAUGAGCUGUGAAAGUAUUUUAACACAGUAUAACUGAAGUACCAAUUACAUUCGUUAAAUUUGUUUAGUCACCAAAAAUUGAGUUUCUGUUCAUCUGUAUAGUAGGCCGGAUGCCUUUUGUGUUUAUCAACGUUUUAAAUUAACUCAGAAUUUUUAAUACAUUGUCAAAAGUAUACAUUAUUGUCUGAAAAUACAAAAGAGUACAAAUGAAUCGAGGAAAAAUUUAGCGUUUAAUAAUUUAGGAUUUGUUAGCUUAAUAGCAUAAAGGGUCUUUACACAUUUAGUGCAGUUGUUGAUACAAGGUUGUGUGCUUUUAAUAUAAUUCGUUGUCUUCUAAUUGGUGAAAUGCGCAGAAUAAUGGGUCAAG